AGAUCUAGAAACAGUAGUUCUAAAGGAGGAGAAAGAUAUAGGUAUCGUUCUAGAUCAAGGUCUUCGGAUCGUUCAAAAAGAAAAACCAGAUCCAUUUCAAGAGAAAAGUCUGGGAGUCGUUCGAGCAGUUCACAAUCUAAUGUUAAAGCUACCAUAUUCGAAAAGUCCAAAAAUAUUCUAAUUAAAGAUGAUUUUCCUAUUGAACCACGUUUCAAAGAAGGUGUGUUAGACGAAAUCAAUUCUGAAGGUUUCACACCCAAACAGUUUUCAUCGUCUAAUACAAAAGAAAAGAAAUUCAAAAAUAUUGUGAUAGAUAUAAGUGCAGAUACUAUACAAGUUCCGACAGUGGCUGAAAUUCCGUCUGGAUCUGAAAGUAUCUUCCAUUCAUCG